GAUGAAGAACGCAGCGAAAUGCGAUAAGUAAUGUGAAUUGCAGAAUUCAGUGAAUCAUCGAAUCUUUGAACGCACAUUGCGCCCGCCAGCACUCUGGCGGGCAUGCCUGUUCGAGCGUCAUUUCAACCAUCAAGCCCCCAGGGGCUUGUGCUGGGGCCCUGCGGCUGCCCGCAGGCCCUGAAAACCAGUGGCGGGCUCGCUAGUCACACCGAGCGCAGUAGCACAUCUCGCUCAGGGCGUGCGGCGGGCUCCUGCCGUGAAACCCCCCACUGUAACCCCAAAGGUUGACCUCGGAUCAGGUAGGAAUACCUGCUGAACUUAAGCAUAUCAAUAAGCGGAGGA
rnacentral:misc_RNA from 1 species